rnacentral:rRNA from 1 species
UACGUAGGGUGCAAGCGUUAAUCGGAAUUACUGGGCGUAAAGCGUGCGCAGGCGGUUUUGUAAGUCUGUCGUGAAAGCCCCGGGCUCAACCUGGGAAUGGCCGUUGAAACUGGCGAACUGGAGUGUGGCAGAGGGGGGUGGAAUUCCGCGUGUAGCAGUGAAAUGCGUAGAGAUGCGGAGGAACACCGAUGGCGAAGGCAGCCCCCUGGGCUGACACUGACGCUCAGGCACGAAGCGUGGGAGCAACAGG